GGAUGUGAUCAUACCAGCACUAAAGCACCGGAUCCCAUCAGAAGUCCAAAGUUAAACGUGCUUGGGAGAGAGUAGUAGUAGUACUAGGAUGGGUGACCUCCUGGGAAGUCCUCGUGUUGCAAUUC
rfam:Hordeum vulgare subsp. vulgare, WGS project CAJW01000000 data, contig: morex_contig_1068422